rnacentral:rRNA from 1 species
UACGGAGGGGGCGAGCGUUAUUCGGAAUUAUUGGGCGUAAAGGGCGCGUAGGCGGCUGUACAAGUCAAAGGUGAAAUCCCUCGGCUCAACUGAGGAACUGCCUUUGAAACUGUACGGCUUGAGGCCGGGAGGGGGUAGCGGAAUUCCCAGUGUAGCGGUGAAAUGCGUAGAUAUUGGGAGGAACACCGGUGGCGAAAGCGGCGCGCUGGACCUCUACUGACGCUGAGGCGCGAAGGCUAGGGGAGCGAACAGG